GCGGGGGUAGCUCAGUGGUAGAGCAUCGGCCUUCCAAGCCGAAAACGGCAAAUUCCAAAAGUA
rnacentral:tRNA from 1 species